rnacentral:rRNA from 1 species
UACGUAGGGCGCAAGCGUUGUCCGGAAUCAUUGGGCGUAAAGAGCUCGUAGGCGGUUUGUCGCGUCUGCUGUGAAAACCUAAGGCUCAACCUUGGGCUUGCAGUGGGUACGGGCAGACUAGAGUGCGGUAGGGGUGACUGGAAUUCCUGGUGUAGCGGUGGAAUGCGCAGAUAUCAGGAGGAACACCGAUGGCGAAGGCAGGUCACUGGGCCGCAACUGACGCUGAGGAGCGAAAGCGUGGGGAGCGAACAGG